UACGUAGGUGGCAAGCGUUGUCCGGAUUUAUUGGGUUUAAAGGGUGCGUAGGCGGUUUUAUAAGUCAGUGGUGAAAUACGGCAGCUCAACUGUCGAGGUGCCAUUGAUACUGUAGAACUUGAGUACAGACGAGGUAGGCGGAAUUGACGGUGUAGCGGUGAAAUGCGUAGAUAUCUGGAGGAACACCGGUGGCGAAGGCGGCAUCCUGGACCAACACUGACACUGAUGAGCGAAAGCCAGGGGAGCAAACGGG
rnacentral:rRNA from 1 species